GCACCACCACUGCCCAGCUCAGCUUGCUUUCUUACAUCAUCCAGGUCCACCUGUCCAGAUGUGACACUACCCACAGUCACCUAGGCCCUCCCACACUAAUUAUCAAUCAAAACAUUGUCCCACAGGUUUGCCCACUGUUCAAUCUAGUGGGGGCAUUUUCCCAAUUGAGGUUCCCUUUUUUCAGAUGACACUAGCUUGUGUCAAGUUGACAUAAAACUAACCAGACACUAUCAUGAAUGGACAGUGACCUAACAACUAGCUAACCCAGGCUCCUUUGUCAUCAGGGCAGUGACAGGCUUCACCGUGAUGGGGUACACUCUAAGAGAGAGAGCUAACUGGGAAAACCUUGUGUCACCAGGACCCUACUAUGUCCAGCCACUGUGUCCAGCCUGGCUGUGUGUGUGUGUGUGUGUGUGUGUGUGUGUGUGUGUGUGUGUAGGAGGCAUGCAGGCAGGUCCUUGGGCUUACAUAUAAGCAUUAGGGGAACCAGGAAUGUUAAACACACAGUUGUCUCCUCCAAGAGAGAGAGGUAUAACCUGUUUUCUAGCCAGAAAAUGUCUGGCUGGGAGCAGUCAUUGUUCAUAGCCUGGUGACCUUUGUGCUAUUUCUGUGGCCGGGCUUUCCUCCACAAGACCCUUAUCUUGAGCCUACUUUCUCAGUUAAUAUCUUACAGAAGAUGUCAUUGUACUUUACAAAGAGUCUCGAUGUAGUCACAUCCUAAGCUUUGUUGUGUACACGGGAUUGAGUUCAAGAUCGCCAGGAAAACUUCCACCAAAUUGUGCUGUGCUUAAAUAUACCUAAAAGAAAUCACUCAAGUUCAGAUUCUCGAAGGGCGAACCAACUUUGGCUCCUGAAUUGAACUGAACUGCCUUCUUGGCUCUCUCAGAUCUGCUGGCUGUGGUAUUUGCAGAGACCCCUGCAGUGAGGAUAGGGGUGUGUACACAAUGACUACAGGCUGACUUGGAACCUUCUAGACGCGGCGGCUGUGGCUGUUGAUCUUGGAUCAGUGCAGCAGGAGUUUCCUGUGGGGUAGUCUCUCUAUUGGGGGCAGCUCACCGGUGCCUUUGCCAUCACAGACAGUUCCACUGUAUUGCCCAGGUCAAAGCCCACUAAGGACCCAUCUUCAGUGGCUAUUCGUGUGGCUUUAUAACCCUACAGCCCUGCUCUAUAUGUGAGUCACAGCACAGAGAAGCAGAGCAAAGUCACCAGAACAAGAUGUCAUAUCUGCCAAGAUCCUUGCUUCAAAUGGAGAAACUGAGGCUGUGUGCUAUCUCACAGCAGCCAUCUUUGAUUCAUGUUGAUGCUACUGGCUGUCCCCCAGAGGCAUAUUGGGGACAGAGGAACACAGUGUAGUGUUCCUCCACCAGCUUUCUCCCUGUCUGGGAACCCCACCAACCUCUGGAGUCCUGGAAAGAUUCAUGUGUAUUCAGGUCCCACUGAGUGCCUCCCCAAAUGACAGCACCCCGUAACUUUCAUUUUUAAAAAAACCUAAUUUUUAAUGAUGGUUCUUGUAGCCCGCCACUCACCAGAGGUAGUGGAAAAGAAAGAUGGGGGAGAAGUGGACCUCUUUAGAAAGUUCUUUGGAAGUCGGCAAUUUAGUUCACAAGUCAGCAGCGGCAGCUCAAUCCACUCGCAAAACACUUCACGGAUACAACAGCGGUCCAGUUCACUGAACCAGCAGCGGUGGCGCUACCUAGCAGAGACAGCCGGCCUCAGUGUCAGCACAAGGCAGCAGGAGGGACCAGGAGGAACACCAGGAGAAGUUGUGCCUCUCUCUCAGGGAAGCAAAGAAUAGCAAAGACUCAAAACCAACAAACAUUGCACAGCUAGCUCUAUAAGCAAGCCAAGCUCAGCCUCCACUACUGCCCAUUUAUCCCCCUCCAAACACCACGUGUCCCCCACGAGUCUUGCCUCAGUACAUGUCUUGCCUUAGCAUGUGUGUCUGUCUCAGCUGACAUCACUCUGCCAAUCAGCCUGAGUCUGAGGAAGCCGCAAGAAACU